rnacentral:rRNA from 1 species
GUGUUACUGCGAAGGGGGGACGGAGAAGGCUAUGUUGGCCGGGCGACGGUUGUCCCGGUUUAAGCGUGUAGGCUGGUUUUCCAGGCAAAUCCGGAAAAUCAAGGCUGAGGCGUGAUGACGAGGCACUACGGUGCUGAAGCAACAAAUGCCCUGCUUCCAGGAAAAGCCUCUAAGCAUCAGGUAACAUCAAAUCGUACCCCAAACCGACACAGGUGGUCAGGUAGAGAAUACCAAGGCGCUUGAGAGAACUCGGGUGAAGGAACUAGGCAAAAUGGUGCCGUAACUUCGGGAGAAGGCACGCUGAUAUGUAGGUGAAGUCCCUCGCGGAUGGAGCUGAAAUCAGUCGAAGAUACCAGCUGGCUGCAACUGUUUAUUAAAAACACAGCACUGUGCAAACACGAAAGUGGACGUAUACGGUGUGACGCCUGCCCGGUGC